rnacentral:lncRNA from 1 species
AACAAAAGCUCAUUGGCAUCCUUGGUAAUUUUUCAGAUAAAGAAGGAAGGGCGUCCUGAAACCAAAGAGUUAGAAACCUGUUGAUAAAAGGAAAUAAAAAAAGGACAGUGUGAUAUACACACAUGUGCAUCCAGAGAACAAGGAAAAAAGAACAGUGCGUCCAUUUCUUCAUGGAACACAACUUGAUGUAAUAAAGAUUAUAGGUAGGAAUAUGACACAUUGGGUCCACCCAAGACAGUGUGGUUUCCACCUGUCGUCCUAGCACAAUUAUCAACAGCGUUCUCUUUUACUCUCAAAAGUGUCUCUAGUUAUUGAGAAUGAAUGGAAUCUUGAUGGGUGGAGCUUUGAAACCUUGGAGAUAGGCAGCCUUCAGCAUGGGUAUAAAGAUUCUCAGUGAGUGCCACUGAUUAACAGCAAUGAUGGAAAGCAGCAGUCUCAGGGUUGCUUGGGAG